CUAACACAUGCAAGUCGAGGGGCAGCGGGGAGGUAGCAAUACCUUUGCCGGCGACCGGCGCACGGGUGAGUAACACGUAUGCAAUCCACCUGUAACAGGGGGAUAACCCGGAGAAAUCCGGACUAAUACCCCAUAAUAUGGGCUCUCCGCAUGGAGGGUCCAUUAAAGAGAGCAAUUUUGGUUACAGACGAGCAUGCGCUCCAUUAGCCAGUUGGCGGGGUAACGGCCCACCAAAGCGACGAUGGAUAGGGGUUCUGAGAGGAAGGUCCCCCACAUUGGAACUGAGACACGGUCCAAACUCCUACGGGAGGCAGCAGUGAGGAAUAUUGGUCAAUGGUCGGCAGACUGAACCAGCCAAGUCGCGUGAGGGAAGACGGCCCUACGGGUUGUAAACCUCUUUUGUCGGAGAGUAAAGUACGCUACGUGUAGCGUAUUGCAAGUAUCCGAAGAAAAAGCAUCGGCUAACUCCGUGCCAGCAGCCGCGGUAAUACGGAGGAUGCAAGCGUUAUCCGGAUUUAUUGGGUUUAAAGGGUGCGUAGGCGGCACGCCAAGUCAGCGGUGAAAUUUCCGGGCUCAACCCGGACUGUGCCGUUGAAACUGGCGAGCUAGAGUGCACAAGAGGCAGGCGGAAUGCGUGGUGUAGCGGUGAAAUGCAUAGAUAUCACGCAGAACCCCGAUUGCGAAGGCAG
rnacentral:rRNA from 1 species